UACGAAGGGGGCUAGCGUUGCUCGGAAUCACUGGGCGUAAAGCGCACGUAGGCGGAUUGCUAAGUCAGGGGUGAAAUCCUGGAGCUCAACUCCAGAACUGCCUUUGAUACUGGCGAUCUCGAGUUCGGGAGAGGUGAGUGGAACUGCGAGUGUAGAGGUGAAAUUCGUAGAUAUUCGCAAGAACACCAGUGGCGAAGGCGGCUCACUGGCCCGAUACUGACGCUGAGGUGCGAAAGCGUGGGGAGCGAACAGG
rnacentral:rRNA from 1 species